rnacentral:rRNA from 1 species
GGAUCGAAUGGAGACCGCAGCUAAAUGCGCGUCAGAAUGUGAACUGCAGGACACAUGAACACCGACACGUUGAACGCAUAUGGCGCAUCGGCUCGCCUCAAAACGACCGAUGCACACAUCCUUGAGUGUCUACUUAUUUGUUGACCAACCCACCCGGGCCCCGUUAGCGCGGGGUCCGUCAUUCGACUACAACAUGCCGCGCGGGUCACACCAGACCGAGGCGGACGUUGUGCAUAACGGCGUGCUGGGCGCGGCUUCGCGCAGCCCCAGGGCGUUGAUCCGGGUGAGUUGGAUUCGAGCGGGCGGCCAUCGUCACUGGCCUGCACGCGCUUGACGCGCGUGGUACCCCUGGUCGUUAGAUGUUGCGCUCGUAGCCUUCCCUAGGUGGACUACAAAGGUGCCAGAUGCUUCCGACCAGACCGACCGGGUACCCGUCAGUUCGCGUCUUGCGGUCGGUGCCUACAAGGUUGCUCACACACCCUCGCGGGUGUGCGACACACAGUGUACACGUAGCGCCCCCAGCACUCGAGCCACAUCCACUCACUCCGCGGUGCAUGCGCCUGCAUGCCCGCACCACUCACAACAUGUAGACCUCAGGUGAUGUGUGGUAACCCCCGGAAUUUAAGCAUAUUAAUAAGGGGAGGAAGAGAAACCAACCGGGAUUCCCUGAGUAGCU